rnacentral:rRNA from 1 species
CAGUCGCCGCGGUAAUACGGAGGGUGCAAGCGUUAAUCGGAAUUACUGGGCGUAAAGCGUGCGUAGGCGGUUUGUUAAGUCUGCUGUGAAAUCCCCGGGCUCAACCUGGGAAUGGCAGUGGGUACUGGCAAGCUAGAGUGUGUCAGAGGAUGGUGGAAUUCCCGGUGUAGCGGUGAAAUGCGUAGAGAUCGGGAGGAACAUCAGUGGCGAAGGCGGCCAUCUGGGACAACACUGACGCUGAGGCACGAAAGCGUGGGGAGCAAACAGGAUUAGAUACCCGCGUAGUCCCUGUCUCUUAUAC